AUGACAUCUCUCUGUCUAUACACUGAGACAUCUGUACGUGGAACAAGAGACUGGGAAAAAAAGGGCAGAAUGGCAGAAGGGUGAUGUUAAACCAUCAUUCUGUUACUUUAUCACAGCAUUAAUACACUGUCAGACUGUAGCUCGGAGAAUAUGGCUUUGAAAUAUACAGGCAUGAACAAAUUGUCAGCCACAACACUGGACUCUGAAAAAUUCCAGGCUUGGUCUUCAAAAAAUUUGACAUUCUUGGAUUUACUAAUGUGUUAUUUCAAGGAAGAAGAAGUAUUUGAGGUACCAUUUCCAUCUGAUCUACAAAAUUUGGCAAUAUACUAGAAAACUCUUUAUCGAUUGAUUGCCCACAGAUUUUUGCCAAGUGAAGACUUAAAGAAAAUAUGAAAGUUUAUAGAAAGACUUGGAGAUAUGAAGAGGAAAGUGCCAUGAGUUCGUGAAAGCAAGUGGAUAGUGCAAUACAUUCAGCAUGCUGGGAAAGAUUAACCCGGAAAGACUUCCCAUCUACCAAGACCAUUCUCUUCUCGGGAUAUCAGGGACUAUCAAUAGAGACUUGUUUAAAGUGACUAUAAACGGACACCCUACCAGCGAAACUUCUUCAACGAGAAGUUUAUGUCUACUCCGCGUUGCUAACUUUUCACUAUACAAUUUCUCAUUUCAUUUCACGCUUACAUUUAUUUUAUAAAUAAACUUUGUUACCUAAAAUAGUCUGUGAUUUUCACUGAUUAUGUCCUUUAAAAUGUAAUGCCAGGAUAUCUACGGUAAUUUUUACCGG